rnacentral:rRNA from 1 species
GAUGAACGCUGGCGGCGUGCCUAAUACAUGCAAGUCGAGCGAACAGAUAAGGAGCUUGCUCCUUUGACGUUAGCGGCGGACGGGUGAGUAACACGUGGAUAACCUACCUAUAAGACUGGGAUAACUUCGGGAAACCGGAGCUAAUACCGGAUAACAUAUUGAACCGCAUGGUUCAAUAGUGAAAGGCGGCUUUGCUGUCACUUAUAGAUGGAUCCGCGCCGUAUUAGCUAGUUGGUAAGGUAACGGCUUACCAAGGCAACGAUACGUAGCCGACCUGAGAGGGUGAUCGGCCACACUGGAACUGAGACACGGUCCAGACUCCUACGGGAGGCAGCAGUAGGGAAUCUUCCGCAAUGGGCGAAAGCCUGACGGAGCAACGGCGCGUGGGUGAUGAAGGUCUUCGGAUCGUAAAACUCUGUUAUCAGGGAAGAACAAAUGUGUAAGUAACUGUGCACAUCUUGACGGUACCUGAUCAGAAAGCCACGGCUAACUACGUG